rnacentral:lncRNA from 1 species
UCCAUGACAUCCAAUUGAGCUAAUUCAAAGGAUGAUUCUUGCUGCACAGCUCCAGAUGGUUCCCCUUGAGUCUCUGAAUUAGGCUGAUAUGUACCAGCCUAAUCCUCAUCGUCAGAUAGCUACAUAUUCACUGUAGUAAAAUCUUCCUGGUAUUGCCAAAUACUUCCAUACUUGUAGAUACCCAUCUUGUGGAUAAGGCUUUCACCAACAAGGUGAUCUUUGUCAGAAGUCUUUGUGACGAUGGUGUUUGAUACGUCAAUAUGCAGAUAGUCA